UACGGGGGGAGCAAGCGUUGUUCGGAUUUACUGGGCGUAAGGGCGCGUAGGCGGUCAGCACAAGUCAGUUGUGAAAUCUCCGGGCUUAACUCGGAAAGGUCAACUGAUACUGUGCGACUAGAGUGCGGAAGGGGCAACUGGAAUUCUCGGUGUAGCGGUGAAAUGCGUAGAUAUCGAGAGGAACACCUGCGGCGAAGGCGGGUUGCUGGGCCGACACUGACGCUGAUGCGCGAAAGCCAGGGGAGCAAACAGG
rnacentral:rRNA from 1 species